rnacentral:rRNA from 1 species
GACGAACGCUGGCGGCGUGCCUAAUACAUGCAAGUCGAACGCUUCUUUCCUCCCCUUUCUUCUCACUUAUUUGGAACGAGCAGUGGCGUACCGCUUAGUUACCCUUCCUUAACCUCCCCGUUAACUUCGGGUAACCCUUGCUAAUACCUGCUAAUAUUUCUUACCGCUUUGUUCCAAAUUGCAUAACAGUCUUGCUCUCUUUUGUAUGUCGAUCCGCGCUGGAUUAGCUAGUUGGUAAGGUAACGGCUUACCAAGGCCACGAUGCAUAGCCGAUCUGAGAGGGUGAUCGGCCACACUGGAACUGAGACACGGUCCAGACUCCUACGGGAGGCAGCAGUAGGGAAUCUUCGGCAAUGGACGAAAGCCUGACGGAGCAACGCCGCGUGAGUGAUGAAGGUCUUCGGAUCGUAAAACUCUGUUGUUAGGGAAGAACAAAGGCGUAAGUAACUGAGCGUAUCUUGACGGUACCUAACCAGAAAGCCACGGCUAACUACGUG